rnacentral:rRNA from 1 species
UACAGAGGGUGCAAGCGUUGUUCGGAAUUAUUGGGCGUAAAGCGCGUGUAGGCGGCUUUGCAAGUCGGGUGUGAAAUCCCUCGGCUCAACCGAGGAAGUGCAUUCGAAACUGGCGAGCUAGAGUACUGAAGAGGGUCGCGGAAUUCCCGGUGUAGAGGUGAAAUUCGUAGAUAUCGGGAGGAACACCAGUGGCGAAGGCGGGCACCUGGCCUGGCCGGUAACUGACGC